ACAGCAGCCGCCACGGGAAUACGAGGGGGGCAAGCGUUGUUCGGAAUUAUUGGGCGUAAAGGGUGCGUAGGCGGCUUGACAAGUCUUGUGUGAAAUCUAUGGGCUCAACCCAUAGUCUGCACGGGAAACUGUCGGGCUUGAGAAUGGGAGAGGUGAGUGGAAUUUCCGGUGUAGCGGUGAAAUGCGUAGAUAUCGGAAGGAACACCUGUGGCGAAAGCGGCUCACUGGACCAUUUCUGACGCUGAUGCACGAAAGCUAGGGGAGCAAACAGGAUUAGAUACCCCCGUAGUCCCUGUCUCUUAUAC
rnacentral:rRNA from 1 species